GACUGUUGAGUUAUCUUCAGCAGCCAUUGGAUCCUUGGGCAAUUUCUACAGGCUACCAAGAAAGAGCAGUACUUCUGUGAGGGCUGAUCAUGACCAGAACUUAUCUGUGGGCUGCUGUAAUGAAUGCUGUUAAAAAUGAAUGCCAGCCGCAAGCAUGAAGCCUUACAAGGCAGGGAUUUGUCAUUAUGAGGAAAUGGUGUCAUUCUUUCUGUUACAAUGUUGAUGGAUGGGUUUAUGUGUGUGAGAAAUCUUUUAAAAAGUUGUUGGUUUUUUUAAGGUAAGAUGCAAUACAAUGUGAAUGACAGAUAUAGUUUGCGAGGAAUAUUUCCCUUUUUAUAUUCUGCCUUACAACGAUUUUCUCCAUAUUUAGUUUUAAGCUAAUACUUCACUUUACAUUUAAGAACCUACAAUUUAUGUCAGGAAAAGCUUUUAUGUUUAUACUGUGCCAUAACUAAUAAUGAGGGUUAUGCUUUUGCUUUACCAGGCUUUCACAUUUGUUUAAUUUAGAAGUUACUUUACUAUAAAAGGAAGAGCUCUCUCUGGAUUUUAGCUAGUAUAAUUAAUGCUGUUUCACACUGAUGCACCAAUAUACAGAAAUUGAUUGUGCUCACAUGAAAAAUACAACAGAUUCUUCCUGAUUUUCCAUCUUUUCUUUUGGUCAAAGGAGUAAAAUAAUGACAAGAUAAAUAUUUCUACAGAAGCAUACCAGCCAGAAGCACACCAGCAAGAAGCACACCAAAGGGAAGUGCUGUCAUUAGAAGUGUUUUCCCCAGGACUCCGCAGAGAGAGGAUGGAAGAGGUGCCAAAGAGGCAACUGAUGGCCAUCCUGCCACAGCAGCAGAGCUGGUGUUAAUAUUUCUGGAGUGAAAACCUUAUCUUUAAGGACCCAUGACACGGAAAUGAAGAUGAGUUGUUCUUGUGACAAAGAAAGAGAUGAAUCUAUGCUUCUGGAAAACAUCUUUCACUCGCUUUAUUAUAACAAGGUGUGAUUGUUGCUUGGAGUUCUCAGGGCUAUCCCACCACACAGCAGCCUGCAUUCUCAGCUAACUCCAUAUCAUAGAAAAUCUGUUCCCAUGAGCUCAGCAAAUGUUUGCAUGGUGGACUGGCAUAGACUGUAAGCCAAGAGCAAUAUGGGGAAGGGAGCAGCACUGAGCCAUGAAGAAACGCAAAGUACUUCAUGUAUGAGAGCCAACACAGCUGCAGGAACCGUAAGGAAUCAUCUAUGGGAGCUUGAGCAUGCAGUGAGAGCUUCCUCCCAGGGUAGUGACACUUGUCCCCAAAAUGAGGAGAGCUGCCAGGUUGGAGUACUGGGAGUGGAUGGAAGCACCUUUCUGACCCAGACAGUCAGUCUUGUGAGAGGCGAGGAAACUGAAGCUGCUCAGAUGUGAAUGUAACGAGCGAGGAGCAGCCCUAGAAUACACCCAGAGGGGCUUUCAGAUGGGAUUUGACCCUGCAGAGUGCCGGACCACGCGUUGCUGCAUUACUGUGUCUCCCAGCUGGAGAUGUCUGCUGCUUAUCUCCAGAGGUUUUUGCUCAAAUUAAAUGGAAAACCAAAUUAAACAAUGAUUUAAUUAAGUGGAAGAGAUGGAACGUGGAGGCAGACUUAGAAGGUGAAGAUCUGAAAGAAGCAUAUUCUUCCAAUCGUGACAUCUAACAGAUGCAAUCCUUCAACAGUAAAACUGUUUUUUACUGUCUUUUGGACCAUAAUGAAGAA